rnacentral:rRNA from 1 species
AUUGAACGCUGGCGGCAGGCCUAACACAUGCAAGUCGAGCGGAUGAAGGGAGCUUGCUCCUGGAUUCAGCGGCGGACGGGUGAGUAAUGCCUAGGAAUCUGCCUGGUAGUGGGGGAUAACGUCCGGAAACGGGCGCUAAUACCGCAUACGUCCUGAGGGAGAAAGUGGGGGAUCUUCGGACCUCACGCUAUCAGAUGAGCCUAGGUCGGAUUAGCUAGUUGGUGGGGUAAAGGCCUACCAAGGCGACGAUCCGUAACUGGUCUGAGAGGAUGAUCAGUCACACUGGAACUGAGACACGGUCCAGACUCCUACGGGAGGCAGCAGUGGGGAAUAUUGGACAAUGGGCGAAAGCCUGAUCCAGCCAUGCCGCGGGUGUGAAGAAGGUCUGCGGAUUGUAAAGCACUUUAAGUUGGGAGGAAGGGCAGUAAGUUAAUACCUUGCUGUUUUGACGUUACCAACAGAAUAAGCACCGGCUAACUUC